UUGGUUUGUCCUAAGUCAAACUUGACAAACUUUGAUCAAGUUUAUAGAAAAAUAUAAUAACAUCUAUACUACCAAAACAUAUUACAUCAUGGAUUCUAUGAAACAAAUUUGGUAUUGUAGAUGUUAUAUUUUUUUAUAAACUUGGUCAGAGUUGGAUAAGUUUGAUUUAGGACAAACCAAA
rnacentral:pre_miRNA from 1 species